AGUGUUGUUCAGUUUCGCAAACAGGGCGAUAACUCGGUCUUCGUAUGUCGGAAUCGAGUACCGUCAGUUGUAACGCGUGUCUAAUACCUACGCGGUGCUGUGUGUGUGUUUGCGUGGCGUUCGGAGGGACGAUGCGGGUUUCGGACUCUUUUUCGGCUUUUUGGCUAAGUGUUGUUCAGUUUCGCAAACAGGACGAUAACUCGGUCU
rnacentral:lncRNA from 1 species